UAAGAACUGUAUUUUGUCCAAA
rnacentral:miRNA from 1 species